UUAUUUAUUUUCUAAAUAAAAGUAGAUGUGGCCUAGCUCCAGUUACGUUUUUUUCCAAAUCUGAACCCUUUUCCCUUUUCCUUUAUCUCCAAUAAAGUUUUCCCCCAAUACUCUAAUCCCUCGUACCCAUUUCCCCCUUUUCAUUUUACUCUAGAUCCAGUCAUAUUUUCCCCAAAUCUGAACCCUUUUCACUUUUCCCUUAUCUCCCAUUACGUUUUCGGUUUUCCCCAAUUCACUCUAAUCCAUCAGACCCAUUUUCCCCUUUUAAUUUCUCUCUUUGAAAUCCCUCAAAUCCAGUAGUCUGGUGAGAGAUCUCCAGAAGAUCUGUGUCCGUUUGCUAAUGACAUUCAGACUAUUUGCGCAUCAUCGUCGUAUUCAACCCAUGAACUCAGAAGUCGGUGAUUUCUAUAGCAAACGCAAAAGGCACUCCGUAAAAAACUGAUUUUAGUUGAAGACUUGCAUGAAGCACAAAAUGAGGAUAAGAAUGAAAUUGUAAUCAUCAUGCGUCUACUUGUUCCUAACAAUUUGGUUGGAUGCCUUUUAGGAAGAAAAGGCGAUGUUAUUCAGAAAUUGCAAAGUGAGAUUGGGGCAAGCAUUCAUGUUCAAUCUGCUGAGCAUCUUCCAGUUUGUGCUAUGACCACUGAUGAACUGGUCCAAGAAAGGAUAAAUCUGGUGCUUUUUCCAAUUAUCAAAGGCAGUGGAGGGGACUCCAUUAACAUCCUAUUCUUGCUUUUGGUGUGGAUGGAACAUGUAAAUGAGGUUGAAAUUGUUCUUCAGGUGCUAGAAUUAUUACAAGAUUAGUUUUUUGGGGCUUAUCCUUUUACUUUUUCUGCCUCUGUUAAUUAUUUAAAGCUACAAUAGCACAUUCUUAGUUCUGGAUUUAUAACAUUACCUUACCUUUUCAAAAGAAAUGUUUAGUAUGAAGAGUAAAUGUUGCACGUACUUUAACAUUGUCAAUGUAUUGAAUUAGUAUGGUAAGUUGAUUGCACUACUUAUUAUUCACUGUUGGUUAUUAUUUGAUUGACUCAUUUGCAAAAAAAAAGUUAUUAUAAUUGUUAUUCCUGUGCGCAACAUCAUCAACAUAUACCAACUGAUCAGGUGCUGGUGCGUGUAUAAUGUCGUAAUCUUUUCCCAUAUUCCAUAUAUAUAAUACCAUCUGGUCAUGAGUCGAUGUAACCGU